rnacentral:lncRNA from 1 species
GUGGAGAGCAGAGCCUGCUGGGGAACAAGGCUGCUCCAGACUGAGGCCCAGAGUGUGACAGGACACUAUCCAAGCCACCUCACAGACAAGUUCUGACCCUCAGCCGUCUUCCCCUGGAACUGGUACUACCUUGAUCGGCCAGGAAUGGGGUGGUUCAGAUCAGCAUUUGCUUUCCUUGUGAGGAUCAAUAUUUUAUCUGUGCACACCCACCACCCAGAGGUGCUCUGUGGGACCUUCCCUAGGCUGUCUCUGCCAUCUUCUGCUGAAUUAUCUAGCCAACUUUCCCAAACUGCCUGUCUUUAUCUCCUUAUCUCCAGAAGACUGUGGGCAACACACAGGUUUGAAGACCUACCAUUUCUGAGUUCUGUUUCCGAUUGUCAAGUGCAGAAGUGAGUCCUCCAACAGCCUGGGGAUCCUCAUAGGUGACCCUGAAGAAAAGCAGUGCAGAUGGGUUCCCUCCCAGUG